rnacentral:lncRNA from 1 species
CUGCCGCGAGAUAUCGCACGGACGGACGCCUAACAACGCCAGCUGGACGAUCCUUCGGCGGACGUAGUCUGGCAGUGGCCGUCCAUUGACGAAUACGCCACCCAAUUGGUUGACCCCGGCUUGACCUGUCCACCAAUAAUAAACCUGUAUGGGGCAUGAUCCAGCGACCGGAAUCCAGCAGUUUAAUAAGGGGCGGAUGACGAGCUAUGAACGAGGGGCGGAAAAAUGACGUCCUGCUGAAACGAUCGAAAUGGGAUUGUUUGAAUAAAACAAAUUCUCCGGAUGAUUGAAAUUUUACCUUUUUGAAAUUGGCGAUGUAUGAAAAUCCGCACAAAACUGGAGAACUCACUUUAAUUACUUGCGACGCAGACGACCGAGUGAACCGACAAGAGCGGCCGGAAUUGCAGCGAUUUGGACUUUUAUAGAUGCGCGGUGAAGAAGUGAUUUCGGAGGAGGAUGAGGCGCCACCAAUCACCGGCGUAUCGGUUUCUGGAGGGGGGCAUAAACGAAACGGCUUUCAAAAGGACCGCACACACACACACACACACACACGGGUGAGAAUGGGCGUUGAUAUUUCUGCCGCCUAUAAAUUUCUUUAUUCGCGUUGCGUCUGCGUGUCUCAUCUGACGUCAGCAUUUGCCCAGCAGCAGCACAGUCUCAACGUCGCCAGCGUAAACUAUAAUAGUCCCAAGCAUAGCCGGAACUGCACCAACUCUCUUUACAGCUCCGCCCUGUCUCCUUCUUCCGGACAAGACUCCGCCCCACGACUGGAGGGUCACGGAACCAACCGCAAAUCUCAUCCGAAAACUUUUCUGAGCCACUCCCCCCCCCUCUCCAACCCCGGAUCCAUUUCUAUAUGUGCUGCACAAACA